UACGUAGGGACCGAGCGUUGUCCGGAUUCAUUGGGCGUAAAGAGCUCGUAGGCGGCUAUUCAAGUCGAACGUGAAAUCUCGGAGCUCAACUCCGAAACUGCGUUCGAUACUGGGUAGCUAGAGUCUGGUAGGGGGGAUCUGGAAUUCCUGGUGUAGCGGUGGAAUGCGCAGAUAUCAGGAGGAACACCGGUGGCGAAGGCGGGUCUCUGGGCAGUAACUGACGUGAGGAGCGAAAAGCGUGGGGGAGCGAAACAGG
rnacentral:rRNA from 1 species